rnacentral:rRNA from 1 species
GACGAGCUCUCCAAACGUUAUUCGGUAUUACUGGGCUUAAAGAGUUCGUAGGCGGCUUUGCAGGUGAGGUGUGAAAGCCCUCGGCUUAACCGAGGAAUUGCGCUUCAAACCGCAGGGCUUGAGGGAGACAGGGGUAAGCGGAACAGAUGGUGGAGCGGUGAAAUGCGUUGAUAUCAUCUGGAACACCGGUGGCGAAAGCGGCUUACUGGGUCUUUUCUGACGCUGAGGAACGAAAGCUAGGGUAGCGAAC